CUUUCUGAUAGGCCCUGAGCUGCCCUGCUCUGGGAGAAGGACCAAGGUCAGCAUGGCCAAUGACCUUAUCUCGGCCAUUCUUGGAAGCCUUUCUGAACCUCUCAGCUAGGAACCCUGGGAGUUUCUGAAGUGGCUUUUCCCUCUGGGGAUCUGCUUUCUGUGGAUGGUUUUCACACAGUGGCCGUGAGACAGCCAGAAUCUGGCUAUCUCAGCUCAGCCAUUGGCUUCGGCAGGAAGCCUCGAUUUUUUUUCAGCUAUGAAAUGGGAAAGAUGACACUGGCCCUGCUGUCCCCACAGGAAUGUGGCAAGCUCAAGUGGAAUACAGUGUUCAGAGGAUUUACAAAAGUGCAAAGUGUCACAUAACAGUGAAGACCAGCAAGGCUUGAGCUCAACUCAAAGAACUCUACCAAGUGCUGGCCUCAUGCCAGGCAGCAUCUGGGCACCAGAGACACAGAGACGAGUGGGAGAGACACUCUCCCGCCCUCUUGGAGCUCAGCGCUCUGCCGGCUGCUUGGAGGAGACAACAGCCAGUACCAACACCACAGUGACUAGAACAGCUUCCCUCCCUGAGUGCUUCCUGUGACCCAGGCUUGAGCUAAGUAUUCACAUACAUUGAGUCCUUAAACAACUCUGCCAGGUGGGCAUGGCUCCACCAGACCUUAUGUGCAAUGGUCUCAGUUUUGCAGAUGAGGAAACCAAGACUCUGUGGGAUGAAGUCAUUUACCCGUAGGGUCAAGUAGGACAUCUGAUUUCAAAACCAAGUGUUCUUCUCCACCCACACCUUGAAAUGUUUUUAUAAUUUUUUUAAAUUUAGUUUUAUUAGUUAUACAUGACAUUAGAAUGCACUUUGUUAUACUAUAUAUAAUGGAGUAUGAUUUCUCAUUCUUCUGGUUGUGCAUGAUAUAGAAUCCCACUGAUCGUAUAGUCAUAUAUGUACAUAGGGUAAUAAUGUCUGAUAUUCAUUCUACUAUCCUUCCUAACCCCAAAACCCCUCCCCUCUAUUCACUCUGCUCUACCCAAUCCAAAGUAGCUAUAUUCUUUCCUAGCUCACCACCCCGCCAUUAUGAACUAGCAUCCGCAUAUCAGAGAAAACAUUUCGGCUUUUGGUUUUCUGGGAUUGGCUUAUUUCACUUAGUAUGAUAUUCUCCAGCUCCAUUCAUUUUACCAGCAAAUGCCAUAAUUUCAUUUUGCUUUAAGGCUGGGUAAUAUUCUAUUGUGUAUCUAUUGCAUUUUCUUUAUCCAUUCAUCUGUUGAAGGACACCUAAGUUGAUGCCAUAGUUUAGCUACUGUGAAUUGAGCUGCUGUAAACAUGGAUAAGGCUGUGUCACUGUAAUUCGAAAUGUUUUAAUGUCUCCCUUUACAGCCUUCAGCAGCAGAACUCAGAGCUCCAUGCUUCACUGUAUCUGUAGGUAAGGAGACAUGCGCAUGUGUUGUCUCCGUCUUGUCCCUGGCCAUAUCACACCAUCAGUCGUAGGUGGCAAACCCUCCCUGGGCCUUCUCCCAGCUCUCCCCAGGCCGUGUGUAAACUGGGACAAGGCAUGACCCGCUCUGCCCUUCAGCUCAUCUAUGAAACAAAGGACAUGGGUGAGAUGGUCCUGCAGGUCCUCCCUGCUCAAACCCCUGGGAUAUAGUCAGCGAAGCCUGUGUCUCCACCUGGAUGAGGAGCCAGGGAGUUGCAGAACUGUUUCAGCUCAGCUGUGGGAACUUGGUAAAGUCAGUAACCUAUCUGGCCUCUAUUUCUCCAUCUGUGAACUGGGAGCAAAAUGUAUUGGUCUUCCACUCCAGAGGCUUGGAGGAAGGAUCAAACAAAACAGAGGCCCUGAAAGAGUUUUGAAACUGCUCUAAUAUCGUGGGUGGGUGUUACUACUCCUAAUUAUCACUGAGGGGGAAAGGAGGCCCCAGAAAGUGACCAGAGGGGAAGGAGCAAGCCCACCCGGGAACCUUGGCAUCCCCUAAGCCAUGCGUGAGGAGGCUCAACUUCCCUCUGCCGAACAUCAGCACCUGUGGGCAGGUGUUUCUGUUGCCUGGUGAGAUAUUUUGAUUACUCCAUGGAGAACAGUCACAGGACACUCCACCAGACCUUAUGUGCAAUGGUCUGAAGUCAAAUAAAAGCAAAUCCUAAUCAUUGAAACUUUGUUUUUUUUAGUUAAAAUAAGCCAAAAGAGUUUAUGGGGGGUGUUGAGGUUAAGAACAUGAGUCAGACACACAGGCUCCAAUCCAUCUCAGUUGUUACUAGUCAACAUGACCUUGGACAUCAAACCUUUCUGGCCUCAGUGUACCCAUGUGAAAAGCAAGAGUAAAACCACUGAUCUCAGAGGGUACCAUGAGCACUUAAUGAGGUUGUGCUUCUGCCAGUCAACAGGAGCUCUGUGGUGAGGGUGGACGCAGGCAGAGGCCCACAUGAGGGCAGCAGACCAGACCCUGAGCAGGCCGUGGGGA
rnacentral:lncRNA from 1 species